rnacentral:lncRNA from 1 species
AGGUCAAUAAUAAAGGUUAUGAAUAAACUUAUAGUUACUGGGGCAAAGCCUGAGUGACUGAAAGCGCUAUUAAAACAGUAACUUCCCUCUGAAACACAAUCUUGUCGAAGCAUUGCAAUAGAUAUUCGACACCGUUAUGUUUACGCGCACAAUCUCUGUACGUGUGGCAAAUUAUGUAAUGGUACCGCCCACGUGAUUCUGUGUGUGACCUGCGUUUGACCCCAGGCCACAGUAAUGAGUAGUCAUGAACAUUCUCGUCGUACGUGCGGGAAAACUAACGAUAUUUCUAGUUAUAUAAUGGAUUUUUUGGAAGUUUCUCGUAAGAUUAAGUAAUGCUUAAAAUGUACUUUGAGAAACUUACGUAAUGAUAGAAAUCUCUGGAACAGUUGUAGACUAUAAAAUAGGGAAAUGGCAAGAGAGAUAUGCACACCGCAAGAGAAAUUUUGGAAGGCAAUUCUACCAUAUGUGGGCUGUGAGAAGUCUUUGACUUGUUGACUUCUGCACCAUUUCAACCUGUGGUGGAGAGUCGUCUGUGGAGCGACACUUGUAAGAAGAGUUCGUCCAGAACAAGUGAAGUGCGGGGCUGAAUCUUGAUCCGGAAAAGGCAGUUUGUGAACUGAAUCCAGUUCAAGUUUGUGGGAUCAUCAAGUCCCCGUAUUUGCGACGGUCAUCACGCCCUCGCAGUAUCGUCUCAAACUUGGUCAUUCUUAUUGGACGCGGUCUUCGUUCCCGUUGCAGCUCAUUUUUUGCACCGCCAAGGACUGAACUGCCAUCUGUGGAGUCCAGCGGUCUUCACAGUAGUACCUUGCCAAGUUCUCGCCUAUUCCCCUAUGGAGACCCAAAGCGGAUGAAGAUCUAGCCAUAAAGAAAAAAGCGAACCAGCAGAGACAGGUCUUAAAAGCCAAAUCUCUGUCUCGAGCCUGGACUUCAAUCGCCAACAAAAAAGAGAGAAAGCCCUCCUAUGGAAGACCUGUCUCAGAUCUUAGCCGAUAAGGCGUUUGGCUCUGGCGAGCACGUACUGGCUGAGCAUGCAUAUACAGUUGUCCUCAAAUGAUGACUCCUUGAGGAAGCUCAGGAGCGCACCACCACAAACAGUUGCAGAAAACAAACAGGCAGUUAACAACCAGAUUUGCAUCUGUGAAGGGCAUCGUUCGCAGUCCGAAAAAGGAACAACUUGUUCCAGAUGACAUGGUUCAACUCAGUACCUCGUCAGACGUGCACAACUUCUAAAAGUGUCACAUUAACCCAUCUUCCAACACCAAUGCAACAAGCCAAGAUGACACCAUAAUGCUGAGUUCGGCACUGCCACAAACACCCGAUACUUCGACCACCAUUCCAUCCGCUAUUCGAUCUUCGGGCACACUCACAGAUUUCGAUUGCAAUGUAAUUACACACAUUGCAGGGUAUGUAGUCAGAAAGCUCCUAAAAACGAUCCAAUGCGUCAAGUGCAUUGAUUCCCUUGUGUGACAACCGACCGGUCUUGCUCCUGAAUUAAUUAGAUCUUCAUAUGAUAAAUCUCACGAUAACGGGGGCCUGAUAUACACAUCUCAAGAUGUCUUGGUAGUGUGUACAGCUGCAGAGGGGGGUGUUUCGUCUGUGUAACAGCAAGCAGCCAUCUUCAAUGCCCCACUUCCUCUCCGUAAAAGUACAUCGCACCGUUCAGGAGAUGACUGGAAGUAAUGUGUCCCUCUCCUUGGAGCACGCCUGGGAUGCCCCGACUGGUGAAGGCCAGCAACGGGAUUGAUCUGAUGCGGCAAGUGGCCCACCACUACUUGAAAUCAGAUCAUGCGAUUUAGGUAAGACAACAACUAAAGGGCUACAAGGAAAUAAAGUCAGACGACUAUAUUCCAAACUGGUGCUUGUAAAAGGACAAUAAAUCCCCACCACACCAUUGCACUCUGCAAUGUUCCAGCAAAACUGGAGCAGCAAAGCCUCCAUUGACUCAGGUAGUCUUUGUUCCAUUCGUACAACAUCCAAACCUAUACAGUCUAAGUGAUCCUCAGCAUUAUGAAAACGAGCUCGUGUUGGCCUGGCCAAUGUGAAAUCGCGAGACGGAAUUCAAAUAGCAUAUUGAGUAUAGCAAUGAUCCGAAAGCUUCGUUUUCAACUGUGGUGCACUUCUGGCCAUGUAAUAGGCCGAUAUACUUAAAAUUCUGGGGUGAAUUGUCGUGACACUGCUCAGUAAAAUUCCCAUAAUACAAGUUCACAUUUUAUGCCUGGCAGAAAAAUUCAACAUUCAAUAAACACACCGAAUGUUAUGUAGCCCUUGAGCAAACGUUCCUUGUAUAGAAUGAGAUCUUAUGGUUAAUAUAGAGGUUUAAGAAGAACUUUAAAUUUGACCUUCCGUUUCACAGAUUAGUUCUUUGUACAUUUCUUUGUGUGAAAACAAAGGACAGGUAAUAUUUAUUUCAACUAGGCACUAUUUUGUAUUUUGCGAUUUAUAUCGUCGUUACAUACAUGUACACGGAUAGCAUUUUAAAUAUUAAAUGGCAGUA